UGUCGAUUGGUGAACAAGCGGAAGGGAUCAUUA
rnacentral:rRNA from 1 species